AGCCUGUUGUUGCCAUCAUGUCAGGUCUCAGACUUGGGAUAUUUCCAUGUCACCCCAAGAAGCCUGUUGUUGCCAUCAUGUCAGGUCUCAGACUUGGGAUAUUUCCAAGUCACCCCCAAGAAGCCUGUUGUUGCCAUCAUGUCAGGUCUCAGACUUGGGACAUUUCCAAGUCACCCCCAAGAAGCCUGUUGUUGCCAUCAUGUCAGGUCUCAGACUUGGGACAUUUCCAAGUCACCCCCAAGAAGCCUGUUGUUGCCAUCAUGUCAGGUCUCAGACUUGGGACAUUUCCAAGUCACCCCCAAGAAGCCUGUUGUUGCCAUCAUGUCAGGUCUCAGACUUGGGACAUUUCCAUGUCACCCCCAAGAAGCCUGUUGUUGCCAUCAUGUCAGGUCUCAGACUUGGGACAUUUCCAUGUCACCCCCAAGAAGCCUGUUGUUGCCAUCAUGUCAGGUCUCAGACUUGGGAUAUUUCCAUGUCACCCCCAAGAAGCCUGUUGUUGCCAUCACCAUCCACCUGUAGCAGACCAGUCCCCUCCUUCACAAAACCUGGCA